rnacentral:misc_RNA from 1 species
UGGCACGCCCGAAGUCGUUACCCUAACCCUUAGGGGAGGGGGACGCCGAAGGCAGGGCUAGUGACUGGGGUGAAGUCGUAACAAGGUAGCCGUACCGGAAGGUGUGGCUGGAUCACCUCCUUAUAGGGAGACCCAAUUCAAGGCAAAAGGCAAAAGGCAAAAGGCAAAAGUCAAAAGUCUUAGCCGAAUUAAUAAAUACCUUUCCUUGAAUUUAUCCCAAGGUCGUGCAAGGAAUCAUUUAAGGCAAGGCUUUCAAACUAUUAGGUUGGUUCGGAAUUCACGAAUGGCGUGAAUUUUGGCUUCGAGUCCCGGGCUAUUAGCUCAGGUGGUUAG